rnacentral:rRNA from 1 species
CCCAGACUCCUACGGGAGGCAGCAGUGGGGGAUAUUGCACAAUGGGGGGAACCCUGAUGCAGCGACGCCGCGUGGGUGAAGGAGCGUUUCGGCGCGUAAAGCCCUAUCGGCAGGGAAGAAGGAGGACGGUACCUGACUAAGAAGCCCCGGCUAACUACGUGCCAGCAGCCGCGGUAAUACGCAGGGGGCAAGCGUUAUCCGGAUUUACUGGGUGUAAAGGGGGCGCAGACGGCAGCGCAAGCCAGGAGUGAAAGCCCGGGGCCCAACCCCGGGACUGCUCUUGGAACUGCGCGGCUGGAGUGCAGGAGGGGCAGGCGGAAUUCCUGGUGUAGCGGUGAAAUGCGUAGAUAUCAGGAGGAACACCGGUGGCGAAGGCGGCCUGCUGGACUGCGACUGACGUUGAGGCCCGAAAGCGUGGGGAGCAAACAGGAUUAGAUACCCCUGUA